GACGAACGCUGGCGGCGUGCUUAACACAUGCGAGUCGAACGGUGAAGCUCCAGCUUGCUGGAGUGGAUCAGUGGCGAACGGGUGAGUAACACGUGAGCAACCUGCCCCUGACUCUGGAAUAAGCUCUGGAAACGGUGUCUAAUACUGGAUACGAGAAGGGUCCGCAUGGGCACUUUCUGGAAAGUUUUUCGGUUGGGGAUGGGCUCGCGGCCUAUCAGCUUGUUGGUGAGGUAAUGGCUCACCAAGGCGACGACGGGUAGCCGGCCUGAGAGGGCGACCGGCCACACUGGGACUGAGACACGGCCCAGACUCCUACGGGAGGCAGCAGUGGGGAAUAUUGCACAAUGGGCGAAAGCCUGAUGCAGCGACGCCGCGUGAGGGAUGACGGCCUUCGGGUUGUAAACCUCUUUCAGCAGGGAAGAAGCGAAAGUGACAGUACCUGCAGAAGAAGCACCGGCUAACUACGUG
rnacentral:rRNA from 1 species